UAAUCCACACCCUACUGGCAGACUCUCACCUCUACCUCCGGUUACCGUCUGAUUCCUUAACCCCCUCAAUCCACCGGAAUUACUCCGUUAACCGUCGUCUUCUCCCUUCUCAGUUAUCACUUCUCACUUCCCACCUUUAUCAUUCUCCACCUGUAGUAAAAAGUGUUACUAAAUACUAGUACCUGCCACCCAUCGAUCAGAUCAUCCAAAACGAUUUCAGAAAUUGAGAAAAACGAUCAAACACUCGUGGUUAUGUGAUUCUUGGAGCAGAAUUUUUUUUUCUCGAUUUAGGGCUUAAUUAGAUAAAGAAAUCAAUGCGCAGCAGCAGAUUAUAAGCGAGAAUUCCAGUAAUAUUCCUGUGAGUCAAGUGUAUUGGUCUCUGGUGGAGAAAGCCGACAAGAAGUUCUCUAAGAUCAGCGACUUGCCAUGUUAUGAACGAAAUAGGUAUGAUACAUAAUUUUACAAGGUAUUCAAGGUCUAUACCAAAUUGUGGAAGUUUCAGCAAGAGAAUCGGCAGAAGCUUGUGGAUGCUGGUCUCAAGAGAUGGGAGAUUGGGGAAAUUGCAUCUCCAAUUGCUCAGCUUUAUUAUGGGCAAUUUAUGCGGACAAGUGAUGCAGGUUAUUUGUCAGAGUCAUAUAUAUUCUAUGAAGCCAUACUGAGUCGAGAAUAUUUCAAGGAUGGUUUGUUUCAAGAUCUAAAUCUUGCAAACAAACAGCUGAGGUUUUUUGCCAGGUUUUUAAUGGUGUGUCUGGUUUUGAACCGACGAGAAAUGGUGCAUCAGUUGGUUAAUCAACUCAAAAUGUUGGUUGAUGAAUGCAGGGGGACAUUCCAGGUUAUUGAUCUUGUUAUUGACCUUUCUAUGCAUCAUUGUCUUGGUAUUAUAUGUUGUUCUUGUUCCAUCGAUGCAUAUUUCCCGGGCCUUAUCUCGAUCACUUAUGGAUGCAAAUUGCUCUAUAUAUUUUUUGGUACAAUACUUUAUUUCCUUAAAUUGAAUUUUGAUAAUGAAGACAAGGAAAAGAUAUCUCUCAUUUAUUUGUUAUUGUUUUCCAAGUUUGUUUUUAUGUUGUGAUUGUACAUCAAGUUUUUGGAGAGUCAAAAUUAACAAUAAGCAAUGGAACAAUGUUGUUGUAUGUGAAAUCUUGAACUCAUAAUAUACUGUGACCAUUAGCGUUCGCCACUAUUUUCAUUACAGCAAUGAAGCAGUUGCAUUUCUUGAGAUUUUAAACUGAUGAUAAUGAUAUACUGAAGUUCAAAAAGAAUUGAUGAUAUGCUUUAUAUCUGUUUUGGUGAUUUAUCCAUCCUAGAUGAUGGAUGUUUGAAUUUCAAAUAACUUUUGUUCACUUGUAGACAGAUCGACUGAUUAGUAUGGCCUUGGAAUAAUCUUGUCUCCAGGAAACUGACUUUAAAGAAUGGAAGCUGGUGAUUCAGGAAAUAAUUAGAUUUUUGAAAGCUGACACAGCUUUUAUGAAUAUCAGGCCUUUAAGAUAUAGUCUUGUACUGGACCCUCAUCCAGAUUCACUACCACGCAUUGCAACAAGGAGAAACUUAAGAUUACGAGAUGCAAUACUGAGUAGCUACCACCAUAAUGAGGUUAAGUUUUCUGAGCUCACUUUAGACACCUUCAGGAUGCUUCAGUGCCUCGAGUGGGAGCCAAGUGGUUCAUUUUACCAGUCAAAUUGUACUAAAAUUGGUCAGAAUGGGGGUCCAGGGCCUAGUCGCAUUAACUACUCCCAGGAUAUAACUGAUCCUACUUUACCUGCAAAUUCACGGAAAGCUGUCUUGUAUCGUCCUUCUGUGACACAUUUUUUAGCCGAAGAUUCCAGUCCUUUGACAAGCUGAGGCUCUGAGCUGAUAACACAAAUGUCUUAAUUGCAUAGAGAUGUUGUCUUGUGAACCAAGGCUGUGAGGUACUGGGUAUGAUUUGUGAGGAGCUACCUGCUGAUGGAGUUCUUCUAAUAUAUUUGUCAGCGUCAGGAAGGGUUGGACAAACUAUUUCAUCUCCCUCUGCUGCUGGAACUUCUCUCAACACUGCUGAGACUGCUGUGAGGAACUUUCAAUCUCAUACCAUCUACUCGGACGCAACAUCCACAUCUCCAUUUAGUUCACCGAGUAAUUCUUCAAAUCCAUCGUCAAGGCGAAGUAGAGGAGACUGCCUGUAUUUUGGUUCUCGUGGAAAUGGAGGAUUAAACAGCAUUUAUCCUACUGAUUUAGUUCCAUUUACAAGAAGGCCUCUAUUUAUAGUUAUCGACAGUGAUGUCAGUGACGCAUUCAAGGCUAUAAGUGGAGCUGAGAAAGGAGAGCCAGCUGCAAUCCUCAUAUCUCCUAGCUGUUCAAUUUCCCUCACUGCAGCCGAAUCCUCUCGUCACCAGAGUGGUAGUCUCUUCACUCUUUUUCUGACAACUCCUUUGCAGGCUUUUUGUCUGUUGGUUGGUUUGUCAGGCUCUGAUAUUGAAAUGGAUACAUACAACAAGGUUGAGAAAUUGCUUUCUUCAUCCUUGAAUGACUGGGGAUCAGCAUUAGCAACUUUGGACACUCUAGAUCCUGUUUGGGCACAAAUUUUAGGAGAUCCAUUCCUGAGGCGACUUUUAUUGAGGUACCAUUCAAUUGUGUUUCUCUUUUUGCUAGGUUUAAAUUUUGUAGGCAUGUGCAGAAUAAACUGUUAACAAAGCCAUCAAAUUGCGCUGACCUAGAGAAAGAGAUGCAUCAAUUGUCAUACUAUAAGGCUAUCCACAAGCUUUCCCAAUUUGAGUAGCAUUUAUAUGUGAAACCCUUCUCAUUAUGAAAUCAAAUGCCAUCUUUGCCCUGCUCCUCUACAACAGUUGAGGCGUUUUCUGAUUUUCUGAUUUGCACUUGGAUUUAAAAUCUGGAUUUAUUUUGAAAGCUCAUGUGCCAGACUGCCUUAAUACUGAGCUCAAGUAUUUGGUUGAAAUGGUUCGUCAAUUGUCAUCAGUCGUAGAACUUCCAACUUCUCAUGUUGCUGAAUAUCAUGGCUUGGGCCAGGGUAUCCCAUAUGGUAAUACGAACGGCAAUGGCCCUUGGAAUUUUGUAUACAUCAAUCCCCAGCAGUUGAGAUCUUCUCUACAUUUUAUGAAGUUAUAUACAUUGGCAAACACUAUUUGACGAGUAUUGUGGGCUUUGAAAAGGUGACAUAGAAAACAUUUAAAAUAUCCACAGUUGAUUGUUGGAUGAAAGUUGUUUUUAUAUUUUGCAGAUUCUUAUUUUGUCGAGCAGUGUUGACACUGUAUGGACCGUGUUUUGGCAAGAAGGAAUAUCACCCUGAGUGUGUGCCUUCCCUUCCAGCAUCCCUCCAGCCAACUGCCACUGCAUCACAAACUGUGGUUCUGCAGAUAGCCAAUAUUUUUGGUGCAACAAAGAAAUUUAUUUUCUCUGAGGGAAUUGUUCUUCCUGAUUAUGAACGCAGUGAGCUGGAGAUGACCUCAGCCUGAUGAAGCAUGUUUACAUUUUGGAGAAUUAGAUUUGAAAAAUGCAAAGUUUGUGAAAUGCAUUCUCGUUUUGAUUGGGUUGUGGGUUUUAUGCAUCUUCACCAAUGAAUCCCACGGAAAUUCUGGAGGACAAAAUUUUGGUUUUAUUGUUGCUUUUC
rnacentral:misc_RNA from 1 species